rnacentral:rRNA from 1 species
UACGUAGGGGGCUAGCGUUGUCCGGAUUUAUUGGGCGUAAAGAGCUCGUAGGCGGUCUGUCGCGUCUGCUGUGAAAACUCAGGGCUUAACCCUGAGCUUGCAGUGGGUACGGGCAGACUAGAGUGCGGUAGGGGAGACUGGAAUUCCUGGUGUAGCGGUGAAAUGCGCAGAUAUCAGGAGGAACACCGGUGGCGAAGGCGGGUCUCUGGGCCGUAACUGACGCUGGAGGAGCGAAAGCAUGGGGAGCGAACAGG